rnacentral:rRNA from 1 species
GAUGAACGCUGGCGGCGUGCCUAAUACAUGCAAGUCGAGCGAACGGACGAGAAGCUUGCUUCUCUGAUGUUAGCGGCGGACGGGUGAGCAACACGUGGAUAACCUACCUAUAAGACUGGGAUAACUUCGGGAAACCGGAGCUAAUACCGGAUAAUAUUUUGAACCGCAUGGUUCAAAAGUGAAAGACGGUCUUGCUGUCACUUAUAGAUGGAUCCGCGCUGCAUUAGCUAGUUGGUAAGGUAACGGCUUACCAAGGCAACGAUGCAUAGCCGACCUGAGAGGGUGAUCGGCCACACUGGAACUGAGACACGGUCCAGACUCCUACGGGAGGCAGCAGUAGGGAAUCUUACGCAAUGGGCGAAAGCCUGACGGAGCAACGCCGCGUGAGUGAUGAAGGUCUUCGGAUCGUAAAACUCUGUUAUUAGGGAAGAACAUAUGUGUAAGUAACUGUGCACAUCUUGACGGUACCUAAUAAGAAAGCCACGGCUAACUACGUG